rnacentral:rRNA from 1 species
AACGAACGUUGGCGGCGUGGAUUAGGCAUGCAAGUCGAACGAAUCCCACCCGGGCAACUGGGUGGGGGAAGUGGCGAAAGGGGCAGUAAGGCGUGGGUAACCUGCCCCGGAGUUCGGGAUAGCCUUCCUAACGGAUGGGUAAUACCGAAUGCCAUGACGACGGGGCCUCCUGUUGUCAUGAAAGCUCCGGCGCUCCGGGAGGGGCUCACGUGAUAUUAGCUAGUUGGCGGGGUAACGGCCCACCAAGGCCAAGAUGUCUAGCAGGUGUGAGAGCACGACCUGCGCCACUGGCACUGGGACACUGGCCAGACUCCUACGGGAGGCUGCAGUCGAGGAUCUUCGGCAAUGGGCGCAAGCCUGACCGAGCGACGCCGCGUGCGCGAUGAAGGCCUUCGGGUUGUAAAGCGCUGUCGGGAGGGAGAAAAGGGCAACACCUUGAUCGACCUCCGGAGGAAGCACGGGCUAAGUUCGUGCCAGCAGCCGCGGUAACAC